rnacentral:rRNA from 1 species
GAUGAACGCUGGCGGCGUGCCUAAUACAUGCAAGUCGAGCGAACAGAUGAGGAGCUUGCUCCUCUGACGUUAGCGGCGGACGGGUGAGUAACACGUGGAUAACCUACCUAUAAGACUGGGAUAACUUCGGGAAACCGGAGCUAAUACCGGAUAAUAUAUUGAACCGCAUGGUUCAAUAGUGAAAGACGGUUUUGCUGUCACUUAUAGAUGGAUCCGCGCCGGAUUAGCUAGUUGGUAAGGUAACGGCUUACCAAGGCAACGAUGCGUAGCCGACCUGAGAGGGUGAUCGGCCACACUGGAAGUGAGACACGGUCCAGACUCCUACGGGAGGCAGCAGUAGGGAAUCUUCCGCAAUGGGCGAAAGCCUGACGGAGCAACGCCGCGUGAGUGAUGAAGGUCUUCGGAUCGUAAAACUCUGUUAUUAGGGAAGAACAAAUGUGUAAGUAACUAUGCACGUCUUGACGGUACCUAAUCAGAAAGCCACGGCUAACUACGUG